UACGUAGGGUGCGAGCGUUGUCCGGAAUUACUGGGCGUAAAGAGCUCGUAGGUGGUUUGUCGCGUUGUUCGUGAAAACUCACAGCUCAACUGUGGGCGUGCGGGCGAUACGGGCAGACUGGAGUACUGCAGGGGAGACUGGAAUUCCUGGUGUAGCGGUGGAAUGCGCAGAUAUCAGGAGGAACACCGGUGGCGAAGGCGGCAUCCUGGACCGGCAUUGACGCUGAGGCGCGAAAGCUAGGGGAGCAAACGGG
rnacentral:rRNA from 1 species